rnacentral:misc_RNA from 1 species
UUAAGUUCAGCGGGUAUCCCUACCUGAUCCGAGGUCAAACUUAGAAAGUGAGGGGGUUGAUGGCCAGCGUCCACCGGGUCCCUAUAGCGAGGAGGUUUACUACGCUCAGGGCCCGACGCGCCGCCACUGAUUUUAAGGCCCGCUGGGUGAGCAGCGGAACCCAAUACCAAGCAAUGCUUGAGGGUUGUAAUGACGCUCGA